rnacentral:lncRNA from 1 species
GCAUGCACGUUCAUAAGCAUGUCACGGACAAAGGACGUUAACGUUCUACGAGGUGACGUAAAAGCUGCAGGUGUUCAGAACUUUCUUUUGCGCUUUGACUUGACUCGAGUUGACUUGUGAAACCUGGACAGUUGAAAUCUUGGAUACCUGAUCGCCUUGAAAACAACUUCUGGAUAACUGAGCUGAAGAAAACCUUUAGAGUACAUCUACAGCAAACCUUUCUCGUUGAAAACAUGGCUUCUGCUGGAUCCCCUGUGGAGGAGCGCCUGCUGACUCGGGUCACUCGGUGGUUCUUUGCUUUUGCAGGUGGAUCUUUGUGGCCUCUGAACAACAACCGCCCUGACGCUGAGAGUCCACCCAACGACCCCGUCCUGCCUGACUACGAGGACGAGGACGCUGUGGACGGGCUUCAGGAGGCUCAGCCUCGUGAAGGUAAUGGAGAUACACCUGAGAUCCUGAGUAACGGAGGGUAAAUAUCUGGAAAUCCUGGACUCCCUGAGAUGUCAACCAAACCUCGCAAAGCAAGCAUCGCAGCCUAACCUCUCACCGGUUUAUCAAUUCAAUAAAACACCCUGAAAUGUAAA